AUUGAACGCUGGCGGCAGGCCUAACACAUGCAAGUCGGGCGGUAACAGGAAGUAGCUUGCUACUUUGCUGACGAGCGGCGGACGGGUGAGUAAUGUCUGGGAAACUGCCUGAUGGAGGGGGAUAACUACUGGAAACGGUAGCUAAUACCGCAUAACGUCGCAAGACCAAAGAGGGGGACCUUCGGGCCUCUUGCCAUCAGAUGUGCCCAGAUGGGAUUAGCUAGUAGGUGGGGUAAAGGCUCACCUAGGCGACGAUCCCUAGCUGGUCUGAGAGGAUGACCAGCCACACUGGAACUGAGACACGGUCCAGACUCCUACGGGAGUCAGCAGUGGGGAAUAUUGCACAAUGGGCGCAAGCCUGAUGCAGCCAUGCCGCGUGUAUGAAGAAGGCCUUCGGGUUGUAAAGUACUUUCAGCGGGGAGGAAGGUGCUGAGGUUAAUAACCUCAGCAAUUGACGUUACCCGCAGAAGAAGCACCGGCUAACUCCGUGCCAGCAGCCGCGGUAA
rnacentral:rRNA from 1 species